rnacentral:rRNA from 1 species
CAGAGGGUGCAAACGUUGCUCGGAAUUACUGGGCGUAAAGCGCGUGUAGGCGGGUCGGAAAGUCGGGCGUGAAAUCCCCAGGCUCAACCUGGGAACUGCACUCGAAACUUCCGGUCUAGAGUGGUGGAGAGGGAAGUGGAAUUCCUGGUGUAGAGGUGAAAUUCGUAGAUAUCAGGAGGAACACCAGUGGCGAAGGCGGCUUCCUGGACACCAACUGACGCUGAGACGCGAAAGCGUGGGGAGCAAACAGGAUUAGAUACCCUGGUAGUCCACGCUGUAAACGAUGGGCACUAGGUGUCGCGGGUUUUGACCCCCGCGGUGCCGUAGCCAACGCGUUAAGUGCCCCGCCUGGGGAGUACGGCCGCAAGGCUA